rnacentral:rRNA from 1 species
GACGAACGCUGGCGGCGCGCCUAACACAUGCAAGUCGAACGGAGUUAGUUUCAGCAGAAGCUUUCGGGUGGACGCAGGGAUAACUUAGUGGCGAACGGGUGAGUAACACGUGAGGAACCUGCCCUGGAGUGGGGGAUAACAGUUGGAAACGACUGCUAAUACCGCAUAAGCCCACAGCACCGCAUGGUGCAGCGGGAAAAGGAGCAAUUCGCUUCAGGAUGGCCUCGCGUCCAAUUAGGUAGUUGGCAGGGUGAUAGCCUACCAAGGCGACGAUCGGUAGCCGACCUGAGAGGGUGAUCGGCCACAUUGGAACUGAGAUACGGUCCAA